rnacentral:lncRNA from 1 species
GCGUAACCCCCACCACCCUGUACAGCCGUGCCUUUCCGUAACGCGCCCCGCGAUCUCCUCCUCAGAGGAAGAGUUGGAAGAAUCCAGGGAUUUCAAGCCUUGAAUAACAGGCGUCUUACAAAAUCACCACAGCUAAACUGAAAAGGCAGAUGCAUCUCAGAGUACCUGAUUGAGUGAGCUGGUGUGUGCACUGCAUGUACAUGAAAACGCACAUGUUUUUGUCCUCAUAUAGACUUACUCUUGCAUAUUCCUGAGAGCUUUGCAGUUGAUGAAAAUUAAUUUGAGAACCAGAUGGAGCACCUUUACAGCACAGGAAUCAGUAACCCAUGGAAAGACACCUGCCAGUAAUGUUCAGCUUUCCACAUGGUCUUCACAGGUGAAAACAGUUUGCAAGAAGAGGAAGAAAAAACACCCUCUGCACAGAAAAAGCCUAACAAAUACCUCCACAAUCUAAAUCAAUAGCUGUGAGGGAAACGAGAAGAAUACAGAGGGUAGAGGAAGCUGACUUUGUUAUUGCAGAGGAAUAAUGUAUGGUCUUUGGCACGUUUUGCUUUGGGCUCAAUAGGUUGUGAAUGGACUAAUAAAUCAUGACCACAUGUUGAGUAAUGAUGACUGGAAGUAAAUAAGUUGAGGAACUAUGGGAAAACUCUGGGCAUUGAACUGAGCAAACCUCAUCGUCCUUCUUGAGUUAACCAGGUCAUCAAACUGAUGCAUAUUCUUUCUCCCUCUCCUUUUUCCUCUUUUCACUUAGUGUGGUAUAAAUACUAAUUAAUUGAGCUCAUAAAUGUUAUUCAAAUAAAACGAUUGGAAUACUUCAUAUGUUUCCUUCUUGUACAGCUGCAAAUGUUGUGUCUGGAACUAUGAAUCUAUGCUGUAGACAAGCAUCAAGAAGGAAAGAUCCGAUCAAAGAAGCAAGGAACAUACCUAGAGAAAUAGCGAACCCAGGAAGUCAGAUUUUUAAUGCUGCUUCUCUUUCUUUUUUAGAUGAUUAUAUUUCUUCCU